CGUUUCACUCUUCUUCAAUUUAUUUUCCCGACUCUCUCUCUCUCUCUCUUCUUUGGCGAGAGCUCGGCGAUGGCUUCUAUGUGAUUGUGUCCGACGAUUCCGGCGAUUGAGGAUAGAUUUAAGAGAUAAAAAUGGUGUAUGAGCGUGUGUUCGGCCGGAUUCGUCAUCCCCAGAGCCGCUGCUUACCAUCGGCGAUGGAAGAUUAAGCAAAUCGGAGAUCCAUAUCUUCGGAAUCGGAGAGUAAUCGAUAAAGGAAGCUCCCGUUUGUUUCUAAUGGAAGGGGCAAUGCUGAAAUCAAUACUUUACUUAGAACUCGCUGAACGUGGUGGCGAAGUAGCUGCUGCUCACGUCAAGGAAGUUAUACACCAACAUCUUUCUGCAACUUCUCGUGGUCAUGUCAUACACCAAGCCAAUAACUGGCGUCCUCUACCAGCUACUCGCUGACUCCCAUCUUUUAUUACAGUGAGGUCAAAGUGAUUGGCUCGUUACAUGUCCAUAACUUAAAUUCAAUUGGCCAUGUUUCAAUGACAAAACCUUUCGAUUUCUCUAAUUCACACUCAUGUUUGAAUCCAAAUGGUGCGGCUGAUACAUGAAUCCACAACACCAAAAAUGUAAAUCCGCGUUUGACAGUAGGAUACUGAAUAUUACAGUUUGUUUGAUUUUGUUUUUUGGGUUUGGAAAUAAUCGAAAGUUUCAUUGUGUAGUGAA